rnacentral:rRNA from 1 species
GUUGAACGCUGGCGGCAGGCCUAACACAUGCAAGUCGAACGAGUGGCGGACGGGUGAGUAAUGUCUUGGAACCUGCCCGAUCGAGGGGGCUAACUGCUAGAACCGUUAGCAAAUACCGCAUACCAUCCUAUCUGCCCAGAGGGGAUGAGCUAGUAGGGGGGGUAACGGCUCACCUAGGCGACGAUGCCUAGCUGGUCUGAGAGGAUGACCGGCCACACUGGGACUGAGACACGGCCCAGACUCCUACGGGAGGCAGCAGUGGGGAAUUUUGGACAAUGGGGGAAACCCUGAUCCAGCAACCCCGCGUGGGCGAUGAAGGCCUUCGGGUUGUAAAGCACUUUUGGCAGGAAAGCGGUACCUACAGAAUAAGCACCGGCUAACUACGUGCCAGCAGCCGCGGUAAUUC